GAAGGCUGCACUAGUGUCCCUCUGUCCACGGGCUGGGAACAUACGAAUUGUUCCAUCUUCUCCGCUGUUUCGCGCACUCAUCUAUGAAGGCCGUUGCCGUUGUUCUCCACUGUACGAUCGCGCAGGGGGAGAUGGCGUAUAUAAGAGUCUAUGCAGUUCCAUUCUAUUUUGCGGUCGUUUGUGCGUUCAUUUGUCUGCUUUGGCUCUUCUGCGGUGGAGUUUUGGCGAGAUUAAGGUUCGAUUAGAACACCCAGUUUUUGCAUUUGGGUUUUUUCUGUUUUAUAUCGAGGAAAAAAAAAUAAAAAUUCGUUUCCAUUUGAUUCUGUUGUUGGUUUGCUGUCUCUGUUCUUAUGUGUGUCUAGAAAAAAAUAUGCGUUUGCAUCAGUGUUGAUGCACUGCGGAGCUUCUCUUUCCUCUAUUGGAAUGGUCCUAUACGAUUAAUUGAUAUUUAUAUUUAUUGUUAAGAGACAUUAAGAAAUCAAAGACUUGCUACUAUUUACAAUUUUGUAUAUGCUUGAGUAAUUGUUUUUUAAAAAAACAGAAGGUUGAAUAAUGAUAGCAAUUUGUUUCCUUUAUAAA